rnacentral:rRNA from 1 species
UGGGGAAUUUUGGACAAUGGGGGAAACCCUGAUCCAGCCAUCCCGCGUGUGCGAUGAAGGCCUUCGGGUUGUAAAGCACUUUUGGCAGGAAAGAAACGUCGCGGGUUAAUACCCCGCGAAACUGACGGUACCUGCAGAAUAAGCACCGGCUAACUACGUGCCAGCAGCCGCGGUAAUACGUAGGGUGCAAGCGUUAAUCGGAAUUACUGGGCGUAAAGCGUGCGCAGGCGGUUCGGAAAGAAAGAUGUGAAAUCCCAGAGCUUAACUUUGGAACUGCAUUUUUAACUACCGGGCUAGAGUGUGUCAGAGGGAGGUGGAAUUCCGCGUGUAGCAGUGAAAUGCGUAGAUAUGCGGAGGAACACCGAUGGCGAAGGCAGCCUCCUGGGAUAACACUGACGCUCAUGCACAGAAAGCGUGGGGAGCAAACAGGAUUAGAUACCCUGGUAGUCCACGCCCUAAACGAUGUCAACUAGCUGUUGGGGGCCUUCGGGCCUUGGUAGCGCAGCUAACGCGUGAAGUUGACCGCCUGGGGAGUACGGUCGCAAGAUUAAAACUUAAAUGAAUUG